rnacentral:siRNA from 1 species
AGAAGUGGGAUGCAUACCAGGUUA